rnacentral:rRNA from 1 species
CGUGUAGCCGGGAAGGCAGGUCAGAUGUGAAAUCUGGAGGCUCAACCUCCAAACUGCAUUUGAAACUGCUUUUCUUGAGUAUCGGAGAGGUAAUCGGAAUUCCUUGUGUAGCGGUGAAAUGCGUAGAUAUAAGGAAGAACACCAGUGGCGAAGGCGGAUUACUGGACGACAACUGACGGUGAGGCGCGAAAGCGUGGGGAGCAAACA